rnacentral:lncRNA from 1 species
UCUAUCCCUUUAAAUCCCAAAUGGCAGUAUUUCUACCAGUAUCGAGUUUUUGAAAACCCUAUAGAUGUCCUGUGUAUGUUAAAAGGAAUUCAGUCCAGAAGAAAAGGGGCUUAUCCAUUGAUUCUCCCUAAAUAAUUCCAUUUCUAUUUGGGAGGUAUGAGGGAAUUUAUGAGUCAGAUACUUGAUUUCUUCAAAGAGCCUUUGUGUGACUGAAUACUCUGAUUUUUAAAAUCUUUCUUAAGUAUUAGUGAAAGGUUGACCAGCCAUAUACUUGGCUUUUUCUCGACAGCAUGCUUUCUUGGUAGUAAAGCCGUCCAUGUUUAUACCCUUCAGAGACUUGAUGAGCCAAGAAUUUCCCAAUCAUCAAGCCCUGGUUGCUUUUUGUUUGAGAAUUCUUUCUUCAAUUUAUUUCUUCUUACAUUUUGCUGUCGGCGGCAGGAAGUAGCCAGAAUACCUCUUCAACACUUGGAAAUCUCCUCAGGAGCACACCAGUGA